CCUUGUAAGCAUAAGGUAGAAGUACAAGGUAAUUCUCUGAAGCAAAAGGUAGAAGUAUAAGCAAAUCUUUCUUUCCAUAUUCAUAAUGAUUACCUUUUACUUGCGAGGAUAUCCUCCAAGCAGAAGUUAAAGGUUGACUCGUGUUUCGGGAGCGCUUAGUUACAUGUUGGAACUUGUAAGAUUUCAUUUGUGCUGUCAAGAUAAGAAAGAGUUUAGUAUUGCGUUAGCAGUUGUUGACUGAAGCCCUGAAGCCAACUGACAUUCAUCCAUUCAACUGCUUCUGCUCUUGGCCACCGCGGCUGCCCUCAAUCUGGACUUCCCAAAUAGGCGAGAUCCGGUUUAUGCAAUCAGGGAGAGGACGCCCGAUUGGUACUGUAGGGGCGGAUGCAGAAGGGCGUACCACUCAAGUAUGGCAGACCUACAGGACCAUGCAUCCACUUCGAAGCCCACGGUGCCUCAACGUCAUAUGAGCUGUUGCUUCGGUAUUGCCGCUUAACCACACACACGCGUAUACGCACAUGCACACGCACACACAUACAUACACAUGUAUAUGUAUGUAUGUAUAUAUGGGUAACGGACUCCCAUUUUCUCUGCUAAGUAUUGCUCCCUUUCUGUUUCAUUUGCCCAGUCCUUUAUAAAACCCCAAAUAGCCAUUGGACUGUAACAUGCUAUGAAUGCAGAAAAUCCUUGUUUUAAGGACCACCAUUAUGUUCUUGAAACGUUUUCAUCAGUAUAUAUCCAAGUCGUGGACGAUUUGGAAAUCAUGGUUGAGCAGUAUGAAUAUAUGUAUAUAGCUGAAAUAUAAAUGUAAUUGUAUAUGAAACUUUAAAGGUUACAGACCUGAUUGAUACGCUAAUUCGUGAUAUCC